rnacentral:snRNA from 1 species
GGAUGUGAGGGCAAUCUGGCUGGGACAUCUGUCAUGUCAUUGAUCACCAGGGUUGAUUCACCAGUCUACAAGGCAAGGCAGGUGUCCUCUUCCUCCCUCAGCACUCUGUGUGAGUGCCUCCUGAAGCAGCUUGCUCACUUGAAUACAGUGACCACCCUAGAUUGAGGAGGACCAUUCCUGGGUCAAGAGCAUAUGAGCACCUGUGCUUCCCCACUAGAACCUCCAAACAAGCUCUCAAGGCCCAUUUGUAGGAGAACAGAGGGUAGUCAAGCUUCCAUGAUAGCAGUACCUACGGCUGCAGUGGUGGUGGUAUCUGUA